UUUGUCGUCGUACGUUAGUGACGUCUGCUGUCUAUUUAUUGGCAUCUUCCAUACCAUAGCAUCUUCACCUUCAACGCCAGGAAAACGUUUAGUGGCCUGUUUGGUGUAGAAUCAGCAAUGGUUAUCUAGGUAAGAAACAUAUAAUUUAUUAAAACGAUAUACUUGCUCAACUGUAUGUCAUUAUUAAACUUUGUCUGACAGAAAGUCGCAUUAUUAUACUCUUAGCGAAGCAAAGAAACGGUACCGUUAAAGUUUUAGGUGUAAAGUUAAUGAAAGCUAGUUCAGGUCAGCUAGUAUGUAGCUAACGUUGUCUUUUAAAUUAGAAUUAGAACUUUGCUGUGGCAAACGGAUGAGCACAACGGUAUUAUUAACACAAACGAUGGAUUAUAACUCCUUGUUAGAUCAUGAGUUUGCUGACAUAUUUUCGAAAGAGGACGGACAAACGUAGAGAGGAGAUUGGGGAGACAACAGAAUCUCACCAGCAGAUGAGAAACAAGCAAGGUGCGUCCGAUUGCGUGUGCUGUUUGAAGAUCCAAUGACUGAAAUUCACCUGCUCUUUUAUCAGUCCACGCUGAUCAUCUUUACACACUUCAACCUUCUCUUCCAACGUCAAGACCCCUCCGUCUACCUACUACAUGAACAAAUCAGGUUUUUCAUAAAGAAACUGAUGUCAAAAUUCCUGAAGCCAGGAGCUUUCAGAGCAGUUGAUGUGGACAGUGUGGACAUCAUGAAUGAAGAGAACCAACUCCCAGAUUCACAGCUUGGCAUUGGCUUCACAACAAGAACCACCUUGAACAGACUCGUUGAAGCUGGUCAUGUCUCCCCUGAGGCUGUUAAGAAGUUCCACAUGGCAGCAAGAAGUUCUUCAUAAGAUCAGUGGAGUAUGCUUUGGCCAAGCUGCCUCUGAAUGACCAAGUGCUGCAGUAUGCCAAGUUUGUGGACUUCAAGCAGAAAAGGGAUGUUGCUGUGGAUUAUGUGCAGUACUUUGUUCAAAGGUUCAACCAUCUCCUGCCAUAUGAUGAGCUGAGGGAACAGGACCACUUAAAUGAUGAAUUCUUGGAGUACCAGAUGAUGGAAGAAAAAGACAUCCCUGAUGCCAUCUGGAGAGAUGCUGUUGUCAGAGAGAGUGCAGAUGGAGAGUACCACAGGAUGGAUCGAAUUUGGGCCUAUCUCAGCACUGUGAAGAACCGCAUAAGUGGAACCCUACAAUUCCCAAGACUGGUAACGGUUGCACAGCUAGUGUUGAUUCUGCCACAUUCUAAGGCUGAUGCUGAACGUACCUUCUCUGUGGUUGGACUUAACAAGACAGACACCUGGAAUAAACUGUCUCUUGAUGGCACACUUUCAUCCAUUAUGUCUAUCAAAAUGAGCAACAUUGAUCCCUGCUACAAAUAUGAGCCCCCUGCUCAGAUUAUAAACGAUGCUAAGUCUGCCACAACCCGUUACAACAGGCCAAAUGUCAGUGUUUAGGAAAAACCAUUCGAAAUUCUGACACAUUCUCAUAUUCAGUUUAUUUGUUCUAGUUUACAAGGCACUUGUAAAGACUUUUUGUGAGCACCUAUAUAAAUAAAUGAAGGUUUUCAAGAAACUUUCCCACUUUUUUUUACAAUAACAUCAAACAUUGGGAAAUGAAUGUAAUUGGUGUAGGUUUAGAUGGUAAGAGGUUUGUGGUGGUGGCGGCAGCAGUGGCCGCCGGCCAAAAUUUCCAGUAGGCUGCUGCAUGCGCAUGUUUGGGGAGAAAUCUCACUCCAGGCAAAUCACCAAAGUUGGCAACCCUGUGAACCCCAAGUUGCUCCCAAUGGCAGGCUAGCACCUUGCAUGUCAGCUCUGCCAUCAUUGGUGUGCGAAUGUGUGUGUGUGAAUGAGAUGCAGUGUAAAGCGCUUUGAAUACCGCUAAGGUUAAGAAGGCGCUAUUAUAAGUGCAGACCGUUUAACAAAGUUUGUUUUUAUACUGAGUAAUAAGCGCUCAAUAUAGUAGCAGUGUAUAUGCAAAAAAGAUAAUCCCUCAAUCUCGGCAUGAUUGGCCAAUCACCGAUCACAGGUUUAAGACAAAGAUCGGCUGAUUUAGAGCCGUUGCCGAUCGAUCGGUGCACCCCCAAUUUUUUUUAAUGUUUGCAUUCAUAGUUUUCAAUGUGCAAUAAAACACCUGAAUACUUGCUUGUCAAGGUUUUUGAAAAGUAAAGAAGAGACAUUUUUGACGCAGCAGAGGGAGAACGUUCUAGCUUUUAAUUCCUUUGUUGUAUCAACACUAACAGUUUUUGCCAGGUACACUUGACAUGUUGAGGAACAACACAAAAGUUUUUUUUUCUCUGAGUUCUCUUAUUUGCAUCCUAAGAUAUAUUAUGUCGAAAAAGAAAAACAACAAAAAUUUCUACUCUGCACUACUAGUUUUCUCAGCAGUGUCUAAAACUAACAAUUUCAGAAUUGUUUCAAAUAUAUAUAUAUAAUGUACAGAUUUUGCUGUUUCUGAAGGAAAUUGGUACAUUAAUUCACUAACGUGGCAUUCAACUGAUCACAAAGUAUAGUCAGGACACUACUGAUGUAAAAAAACAGCACCAUCAAUAUUAAAAAAUAAAUAAUGUUUAUCAAAUCUAGACAGGCCCCAUUUCCAGCAGCCAACACUCCAACACAUUAUCCUAGAGUAAUCAUGCUAAAUUGCUAAUUUUGUACUAGAAAUCACUUGCUGUUAUAUCAGACACAGUUGAAAGAUAUUUGGUUCAUUAAAGGAAGCUCAACAUUGUCUUUGUGUUUGAUUUUGAGUUGCCACAGUAUGAAAUAGACUGGCAUGUCUUAAGGUCAAUAUUAGGACAAAAUUGGCAAAAAAGAAAUGGCUUUCUCUAGAAAUACGUCAGUCAAUCAUUGUUUUGAGUAAUGAAGGAUAUACAAUGCUUGAAAUUGCCCAAAAAAACUGAAGAUUUCAUUCAAAGCUGUACACUACCGUCUUCAAAGACAAAGAACAACUGGCUCUAACAAGAGGAUAAGUACAUCAGAGUCUCGAGUUUGAGAAAUAGUUGCCUCACAUUUCCUCAGCUGACAGCUUCAUUGAAUUCUACCUGCUAAACUUUAGUUUCACGUACAACAGUAGAGAGAAGACUCAGGGGUGCAGGACUUCUGGGAAGAAUUGCAAAGAAAAAGCCACAUUUGAAACAGAAAAACAAAAAGAAAAAUUCAGGGUGGAAAACGAAACACAGAUAAUUGGAAAAGAGUGUUAUGGAUCUUAACCUCAUUGAGCUUUUGUGGGAUCAGUUACACGUAAGAUGCGUGAGAAGUGCCCGACAAGACAGCCACAUCUAUGGCAAGUGCUACAGGAAGUGUGUGGUGAAAUGUCACCUGAGUAUCUGGACAAACUGACAGCUAGAAUGCCAAGGAUCUGCAAAGCUGUCAUUGCUGCAUGUGGAGGAUUUUUUUGAUGAGAACACUUUGAAGUAGUUUAAGGAGUUCUUAAAAUUGUUUUCAAUUUGUAAUAGUAAUUUUUCACAUUAUUAAUUUCCUGACUGUACUUUGCUUUUUCUCCAUGUGAUUGUUUCUGGUCCUGGAUUUUCAAUGAACUGUUUCUGUUCACAUUUUUAUGGAUGAGAUUUGGUGUCAAGCAGUUUUGCCAACUACUUUCAAUGAAAAGUAGCUAAAGCCUGCUAGAAAAGUCGUUAAAUAUCGCUAGAUGAUGGCAUUCGUUAAUUAGCAUAUUCUUGACAUCACAUCAUAUUUGCAUUCUGCCUUGUGUCAGCCCUUUACAUCUGUUUGCUUCUCCCUACUUACUGAGCUCACAUACUGUACUUUAA